rnacentral:sRNA from 1 species
GUGACCGAAAACCAUCGCAGUUCCUG